GACGAACGCUGGCGGCGUGCUUAACACAUGCAAGUCGAACGGAAAGGCCCUGCUUUUUUGGGGUGCUCGAGUGGCGAACGGGUGAGUAACACGUGAGUAACCUGCCCUUGACUUUGGGAUAACUUCAGGAAACUGGGGCUAAUACCGGAUAGGAGCUCCUGCUGCAUGGUGGGGGUUGGACAGUUUCGGCGGUUGGGGAUGGACGCGGGGCUUACCAGCUUGUUGGUGGGGUAGUGGCUAACCGAGGCUUUGACGGGUAGCCGGCCUGAGAGGGUGGACAGCGACAUUGGUACUGCGGUACGGAGCAGACUCGUACGUGAGGCAGCAGUGGGGAAUAUUGCACAAUGGGCCGAAGUGUGAGGCAACAACGCCGCGUUUGUGAUGACGGCCUUCGGGGGAUAAACCGCUUUCGCUUGUUACGAAGCGGUAGUGACGGUAAUGGGUAAAGAAGCACCGGCUAACUACGUG
rnacentral:rRNA from 1 species